AGGAGGUCUCUGUCUCCAAGAAA
rnacentral:misc_RNA from 1 species